rnacentral:misc_RNA from 1 species
AAGUCGUAACAAGGUUUCCGUAGGUGAACCUGCGGAAGGAUCAUUAUUGAAAGUGAAAUGUAGUCGGUUGAGCUGGUUCCUCUGGGACAUGUGCUCACCUUCUGCGCUUUCUCACAUCCACCUGUGCACCUUUGUAGACAGUAGAUAGCUCUCUCCUCGAAAGAGGGGGAUAGGAGACUCGCGCCUUGCGGUGCUUGACUCUAAUUAUCUGCUUGUCUAUGACAUUACACACACUUUAGAAAACUUUGAAUGUCAUUUUACUGGUCUUUGACCUUUAAAUUUUAUACAACUUUCAGCAACGGAUCUCUUGGCUCUC